CAUACCGAACACGGAAGUUAAGCUCUUCAGCGCCGAUGGUAGUCGGGGGUUUCCCCCUGUGAGAGUAGGACGCCGCCA
rnacentral:rRNA from 1 species